rnacentral:rRNA from 1 species
AACGAACGCUGGCGGCAGGCCUAACACAUGCAAGUCGAGCGCUCUCUUCGGAGGGAGCGGCGAACGGGUGAGUAACGCGUGGGAACGUACCGAUUGGUUCGGGACAACCCUGGGAAACCGGGGCUAAUACCGAAUGUGCUCUACGGAGGAAAGAUUUAUCGCCAAUUGAUCGGCCCGCGUUGGAUUAGCUUGUUGGUGAGGUAAUGGCUCACCAAGGCUACGAUCUAUAGCUGGUCUGAGAGGAUGAUCAGCCACACUGGGACUGAGACACGGCCCAG